rnacentral:lncRNA from 1 species
CCGGCUGAUCUUGGUCGUUAAGGACAGACCUUCGACCAAGAAAUUUGAAGCUGUCGUUUGGGAGAAGCCAUGGGAGCAUUUCAAGAGUCUCACCUCGUUUAAGCCUAUGCCUGGGGGAUGGACUCCGAUAGACCCCACGGAGAAGCACGUGAUGGAGAUCGGGCAGUUCGCGGUGACAGAGUACAACAAACGGUCAAAGAGCGCGUUGAAGUUCGAGAGCGUGGAGAAGGCCUGGACUCAGGUGGUUUCCGGCACCAAUUACCGGCUGAUCUUGGUCGUCAAGGACGAACCUUCGACCAAGAAAUUGUUAGUUGUCGUUUGGGAGAAGCCAUGGGAGCAUUUCAAGAGUCUCACCUCGUUUAAGCCUAUGCCUGGGGGAUGGACUCCGAUAGACCCCACGGAGAAGCACGUGAUGGAGAUCGGGCAGUUCGCGGUGACAGAGUACAACAAACGGUCAAAGUGCGCGUUUAAGUUCGAGAGCGUGGAGAACGCCUGGACUCAGGUGGUUUCCGGCACAAAUUACCGGCUGAUCUUGGUCGUUAAGGACAGACCUUCGACCAAGAAAUUUGAAGCUGUCGUUUGGGAGAAGCCAUGGGAGCAUUUCAAGAGUCUCACCACGUUUAAGCUUAUAUUUGGGGGACGGACUCCGAU